UACGGGGGGUGCGAGCGUUGUCCGGAAUCAUUGGGCGUAAAGGGCGCGUAGGUGGCCUGCUAAGCGUGCGGUGAAAGCUCGGGGCUCAACCCCGAGUCGGCCGUGCGAACUGGUGGGCUUGAGCACUGUAGAGGCAGGCGGAAUUCCGGGUGUAGCGGUGGAAUGCGUAGAGAUCCGGAAGAACACCGGUGGCGAAGGCGGCCUGCUGGGCAGUAGCUGACACUGAGGCGCGACAGCGUGGGGAGCAAACAGG
rnacentral:rRNA from 1 species